rnacentral:tRNA from 1 species
GGGUCGGUACCGGAGCGGUCAAACGGGGCAGACUGUAAAUCUGCUGGCAUUCGCCUUCGGGGGUUCGAAUCCCUCCCGGCCCA